rnacentral:rRNA from 1 species
UGGCUCAGAUUGAACGCUGGCGGCAGGCCUAACACAUGCAAGUCGAGCGGUAACAGAUUGAUAGCUUGCUAUCAAUGCUGACGAGCGGCGGACGGGUGAGUAAUGCCUGGGAAUAUACCCUGAUGUGGGGGAUAACUAUUGGAAACGAUAGCUAAUACCGCAUAAUCUCUUCGGAGCAAAGAGGGGGACCUUCGGGCCUCUCGCGUCAGGAUUAGCCCAGGUGGGAUUAGCUAGUUGGUGGGGUAAUGGCUCACCAAGGCGACGAUCCCUAGCUGGUCUGAGAGGAUGAUCAGCCACACUGGAACUGAGACACGGUCCAGACUCCUACGGGAGGCAGCAGUGGGGAAUAUUGCACAAUGGGGGAAACCCUGAUGCAGCCAUGCCGCGUGUAUGAAGAAGGCCUUCGGGUUGUAAAGUACUUUCAGUUGUGAGGAAGGCGUUGGAGUUAAUAGCUUCAGCGCUGACG